rnacentral:rRNA from 1 species
CCAAUAGCGUAUAUUAAAGUUGUUGCAGUUAAAAAGCUCGUAGUUGAAUUUCGGGGUCUGUCCAUUGGUCGGGCUUCACGGUCCGUACUGGUGUGAUGGGUUCCUACCUUCUGAAUAACCAGCAUGCCAUUCAGUUGGUGCGCCGGGGAAGCAGAGCUAUUACCUUGAAAAAAUUAGAGUGCUUAAAGCAGGCUAGUGCUUGAAUAGAUUAGCAUGGAAUAAUAAAAUAGUACGGCAUGGUUCUAUUUUGUUGGUUUCUAGGAUCACCGUAAUGAUUAAUAGGGAUAGUUGGGGGCAUUAGUAUUCAAUUGUCAGAGGUGAAAUUCUUGGAUUUAUUGAAGACUAACUUCUGCGAAAGCAUUUGCCAAGGAUGUUUUCAUUAAUCAAGAACGAAAGUUAGGGGAUCGAAGACGAUCAGAUACCGUCGUAGUCUUAACCAUAAACUAUGCCGACUAGGGAUCGGACGAUGUUAAUUUUUUAAUGACUCGUUCGGCGCCUUACG